rnacentral:rRNA from 1 species
ACGGAAGGCAGCAGUGAGGAAUGUUGGUCAAUGGGCGAGAGCCUGAACCAGCCAAGUAGCGUGCAGGAUGACGGCCCUAUGGGUUGUAAACUGCUUUUGUGCGGGAAUAACGUGCUCCACGUGUGGGGCAGUGCAUGUACCGUACGAAUAAGGAUCGGCUAACUCCGUGCCAGCAGCCGCGGUAAUACGGAGGAUCCGAGCGUUAUCCGGAUUUAUUGGGUUUAAAGGGAGCGUAGGCGGAAGAUCAAGUCAGCUGUGAAAUGUAGAUGCUCAACAUUUGCACUGCAGUUGAAACUGGUUUUCUUGAGUGCGUAAGGGGCAGGUGGAAUUCGUCGUGUAGCGGUGAAAUGCUUAGAUAUGACGAAGAACUCCGAUCGCGAAGGCAGCUUGCCGGGCCGCAACUGACGCUGAAGCUCGAAGGUGCGGGUAUCGAACAGGAUUAGAUACCCUGGUA